rnacentral:lncRNA from 1 species
GAGGCAUGCUUCAGUUUCACAGUCAGAGAGCAGGGUACAUCCUUUAGAGUUCAGACUAACAGAUGAUCAGAUUGAGAUGAUGUCCCAACGUGUAGCCUUUAUUUUAUCUCAGCAGUUUGCCACUUCAGUCUUUGCUCAGAGAUCGACAUCUCAAGAUGACUCAGACCAGACUCUGAUCCCUCAUAUCUCUACUAUUUUUCGGAUACUUACUACUCAG